rnacentral:rRNA from 1 species
UACGGAGGGUGCAAGCGUUAUCCGGAUUCACUGGGUUUAAAGGGUGCGUAGGCGGAUAUGUAAGUCCGUGGUGAAAUCUCUGGGCUUAACCCGGAAACUGCCAUGGAUACUAUGUGUCUUGAAUGUUGUUGAGGUGAGCGGAAUAUGUCAUGUAGCGGUGAAAUGCUUAGAUAUGACAUAGAACACCAAUUGCGAAGGCAGCUCACUAAGCAAAUAUUGACGCUGAGGCACGAAAGCGUGGGGAGCGAACAGG